rnacentral:rRNA from 1 species
GUCUACGGGGUACCACCCUGAACGCGCCUGAUCUCAUCUGAUCUCGAAGCUAAGCAGGGUCGGGCCUGGUUAGUACUUGGAUGGGAGACUUCCUGAUAAGAUGUCGGGAAAGCAGGCA